rnacentral:rRNA from 1 species
GAUGAACGCUAGCUACAGGCUUAACACAUGCAAGUCGAGGGACCGGCGCACGGGUGAGUAACACGUAUCCAACCUGCCCUUUACUCGGGGAUAGCUUUUCGAAAGAACGAUUAAUACCCGACAUAAUGGAUGGGGAUGCGUUCCAUUAGGUUGUUGGUUAGGUACCGGCUCACCAAGCCUUCGAUGGAUAGGGGUUCUGAGAGGAAGGCCCCCCGCAAUGGAACUGAGACACAGACCAAACUCCUACGGGAGGCAGCAGUGAAGAGUAUUGGUCAAUGGGCGCUGGCCUGAACCAGCCGAGUGGCGGGAAGGAUGAAGGCUUUUGGGUCGUAAACUUCUGUUAUAUAAGAAUAUGUAUUAUAUGAAUAAGGAUCGGCUAACUCCGUGCCAGCAGCCGCGGUAAUAC